AGAGUUUGAUCCUGGCUCAGGAUGAACGCUAGCGACAGGCUUAACACAUGCAAGUCGAGGGGCAGCGGGGAGGUAGCAAUACUUCCGCCGGCGACCGGCGCACGGGUGAGUAACACGUAUGGAACCUGCCCGUAGCAGGGGGAUAAGCGGAAGAAAUUCCGUCUAAUACCGCGUAAUAACUCCGAGAGGCAUCUCUUGGGGUUUAAAGGGUAACACCGGCUACGGAUGGCCAUGCGGCGCAUUAGCUAGUUGGCGGGGUAACGGCCCACCAAGGCGACGAUGCGUAGGGGUUCUGAGAGGAAGGUCCCCCACACUGGUACUGAGACACGGACCAGACUCCUACGGGAGGCAGCAGUGAGGAAUAUUGGUCAAUGGGCGCGAGCCUGAACCAGCCAAGUCGCGUGAGGGAAGACGGUCCUAUGGAUUGUAAACCUCUUUUGUCGGGGAGCAAAAGGCGCCACGUGUGGCGUUCCGAGAGUACCCGAAGAAAAAGCAUCGGCUAACUCCGUGCCAGCAGCCGCGGUAAUACGGAGGAUGCGAGCGUUAUCCGGAUUUAUUGGGUUUAAAGGGUGCGCAGGCGGAAGAUCAAGUCAGCGGUAAAAUUGAGAGGCUCAACCUCUUCGAGCCGUUGAAACUGGUUUUCUUGAGUGAGCGAGA
rnacentral:rRNA from 1 species